GAUGAACGCUGGCGGCGUGCCUAAUACAUGCAAGUCGAGCGAACAUACGAGGAGCUUGCUCCUUUGACGUUAGCGGCGGACGGUUGAGUAACACGUGGGUAACCUACCUAUAAGACUGGGAUAACUUCGGGAAACCGGAGCUAAUACCGGAUAAUAUUUCGAACCGCAUGGUUCGAUAGUGAAAGAUGGCUCUGCUAUCACUUAUAUAUGGACCUGCGCCGUAUUAGCUAAUUGGUAAGGUAACGGAUUACCAAGGCAACGAUACGUAACCGACCUGAGAGAAUGAUCAGCCAGACUGGAACGGAGACACGGUAAAGCCUCAAGAGGGAGGCAGGAGUAGGGAAUAUUCGAAAAUGGGCGAAAACAUGACGGAGCAACGGCGCGUGAAUGAUGAAGAUAUUCGGAUCGUAAAACUAUAUUAUUAGGGAAGAACAAACGAGUAAGUAACUGGGCACGACUUAACGGUACCUAAUCAGAAAGACACGGAUAACUAAAUG
rnacentral:rRNA from 1 species